UGUCAAGGAAACCAUGACGCAGACGGCAUCGGAUGUCCGAAGAAUGUGCAUGGCAGAGUUGAUGCAAUUCUGUGUCUACCAGACAUCAAACAACACAGGAGAGAGGUGUGUUGCAGACUCAAUUUAAUAAAUGCAAUUAUCGGGGCCUAUUCAGUGAUUUUCCAUGAAGUGACCACUUUUACAUAUAGUUGAAAUGCACGAAUCAUGCGGGAAAAUUAUUUAUACAUUCAAAUGUGCUGUAGAGGUAUAAUCAAUUGGACAGCGUGUUUGUUUAAUAUUAUGUUUGUCUCUCAUUUGAUCAGAUUGCUUUACCCUGAGGUAAACGUCAUAAAAGGGAUCCAGUGCAAGACGUGCAGGGGCUGGCUGCAUCAGGAUUGUGCUGGGAUUGAAAUGGAGCCGUUUGACUGCGGGUGCGAGGACUCCAUUGAGCAUCCUCGGUAUAACAUAAUUUAUCAAGGAAACAUAGUAUCAGUCAAAAAUACGAGGCUCAAAGGAUGAAAAAAUGAGGGCUUGCUCUUUUUCUUAUUUCUCUGCAGGAUCAAGGAUGCUGUUGACAGUGGAGGAAUUGAUGCUGUCUUUUCUAAGACACAGAUCAAGGUUGCUUUUGAAUGCACUAUCAGUUGUUAAAGCCACCGUUUCUUUUUCAGAUGAUUACAUUUUUGUCUCUUGCUCUUUGGUUUCAGACAUUACACGAUGAUCUACUGUCUGGAAAGAUCCGCUCCAACAGAAUGUUCCUUUGGAGGAAUCCCGCCACCUCACUCCGACUAAAGCAGCAUCUUAAGAUAAGGACACUAAGUUGGAGUGAGCAGCGCGUAAGUAAAAAUGCCAUCCAUCAUGAGUAUUUUUACUCUCAGGGGUGUUACAUUUGAAAGCUGUUUACUUUCUGUGUUUUUCUUCAAUAGAUGUUCGAGCUCCUGCGGUUCAUUGAGGAGGCAACAACCAUUUCUGAAAAAAUCAAGAGAGGCGAGAUUCACCUGCUUGAUUUUGUUUUUGAUGUCAUGCUCCCAGAGGUGAGUAGAUCAAACUAUAUAGCUUGCUUUGAAAAUUGAUGAUAUUGUUAAGAGGUUGUUCUUAUUCAUUUGGAAAGCUCAAGAACAACAAUUAACCCAUACUGCAUAACUUCAAUUGUUCACAUUAUUUGACUGUUUUUCAGCUUUUGAUCAAAGCACUUCAGGAGCAUGGCAUCACCCGGUUCAGAGCAGAGCAGAUGAUGGCCCGUGGCAA